CCUACGGGUGGCAGCAGUGGGGGAUAUUGCACAAUGGGGGGAACCCUGAUGCAGCGACGCCGCGUGGGUGAAGAAGCGUCUCGGCGCGUAAAGCCCUUUCAGCAGGGAAGAAAAUGACGGUAUCUAACGAAGAAGCCCCGGCUAACUCCGUGCCAGCAGCCGCGGUAAUACGGAGGGGGCAAGCGUUAUUCGGAUUGACUGGGUGUAAAGAGGGCGCAGACGGGGAAGCAAGCCAGAAGUGAAAGCCGAUGGCUCAACCCCAGAACUGCAGUUGUAACUGCGUGGCUUGAGUAUGGGAGGGGCAGGCGGAAUUCCUGGUGUAGGGGUGAAAUGCGUAGAGAUCAAGAGGAAGACCGGUGGCGAAGGCGGCCUGCUGGACCGCAACUGACGUUGAGGCCCGAAAGCGUGGGGAGCAAACAGGAUUAGAUACCCGUGUAGUC
rnacentral:rRNA from 1 species